GACGAACCGUGCAAACGUUGUUCGGAAUCACUGGGCUUAAAGGGCGCGUAGGCGGGCAGCCAAGUCAGGGGUGAAAUCUUUCGGCUCAACCGGAAAAUUGCCUUUGAAACUGGCUGUCUCGAGGGAGGUAGAGGCAUGUGGAACUUCCGGUGGAGCGGUGAAAUGCGUUGAUAUCCUUAGGAACACCGGUGGCGAAAGCGGCUCACUGGGUCUCUUCUGACGCUGAGGCACGAAAGCUAGGGGAGCAAACGGG
rnacentral:rRNA from 1 species